AGAGUUUGAUCCUGGCUCAGGAUGAACGCUAGCGGCAGGCCUAAUACAUGCAAGUCGGACGGGAUUGAGGAGCUUGCUUCUCAUGAGAGUGGCGCACGGGUGCGUAACACGUAUGUAACCUACCUUCAUCAGGGGGAUAGCCUCUCGAAAGAGAGAUUAACACCGCAUAAAAUCACAGUGCAGCAUUGCAUAAUGAUCAAAUAUUUAUAGGAUGAAGAUGGGCAUGCGGGACAUUAGCUAGUUGGUGUGGGUAACGGCCCACCAAGGCGACGAUGUCUAGGGGAUCUGAGAGGAUGACCCCCCACACUGGUACUGAGACACGGACCAGACUCCUACGGGAGGCAGCAGUAAGGAAUAUUGGUCAAUGGAGGCAACUCUGAACCAGCCAUGCCGCGUGCAGGAAGACGGCCCUACGGGUUGUAAACUGCUUUUGUACCGGAAUAAACCUUUGGUCGUGACCGAAGCUGAAUGUACGGUAAGAAUAAGGAUCGGCUAACUCCGUGCCAGCAGCCGCGGUAAUACGGAGGAUCCAAGCGUUAUCCGGAUUUAUUGGGUUUAAAGGGUGCGUAGGUGGCCUAUUAAGUCAGGGGUGAAAGACGGUAGCUUAACUAUCGCAGUGCCUUUGAUACUGAUGGGCUUGAAUACAGUUGAAGUAGGCGGAAUGUGACAAGUAGCGGUGAAAUGCAUAGAUAUGUCACAGAACACCGAUUGCGAAGGCAGCUUACUAAAGUGUGAUUGACACUGAGGCACGAAAGCGUGGGGAGCGAACAGGAUUAGAUACCCUGGUAGUCCACGCCGUAAACGAUGAGUGCUAAGUGUUAGAGGGUUUCCGCCCUUUAGUGCUGCAGCAAACGCAUUAAGCACUCCGCCUGGGGAGUACGGUCGCAAGACUGAAACUCAAAGGAAUUGACGGGGACCCGCACAAGCGGUGGAGCAUGUGGUUUAAUUCGAAGCAACGCGAAGAACCUUACCAGGUCUUGACAUCCUCUGCUACUUCUAGAGAUAGAAGGUUCCCUUCGGGGACAGAGUGACAGGUGGUGCAUGGUUGUCGUCAGCUCGUGUCGUGAGAUGUUGGGUUAAGUCCCGCAACGAGCGCAACCCUUGAUCUUAGUUGCCAGCAUUUAGUUGGGCACUCUAAGGUGACUGCCGGUGACGAACCGGAGGAAGGUGGGGAUGACGUCAAAUCAUCAUGCCCCUUAUGACCUGGGCUACACACGUGCUACAAUGGAUGGUACAAAGGGUUGCAAAACCGCGAGGUUAAGCCAAUCCCAUAAAACCAUUCUCAGUUCGGAUUGUAGGCUGCAACUCGCCUACAUGAAGCCGGAUUCGCUAGUAAUCGCGUAUCAGCAAUGACGCGGUGAAUACGUUCCCGGGCCUUGUACACACCGCCCGUCAAGCCAUGGAAGCUGGGGGUACCUAAAGUAUGUAACCGCAAGGAGCGUCCUAGGGUAAAACCGGUAACUGGGGCUAAGUCGUAACAAGGUA
rnacentral:rRNA from 1 species